GAAGAGAGAGGCACAAGAGAGCCUGUUUGCCUGGGAGUGCAUGUUUCAAAUGCUUAGCUGCCUAUAAAGCUGUAACAGUUCAGCCUGUGGCCACUGAGGGAAGAAUAUAAGUUAACCUUUGUAGUGACCAUGUGGAAGUCCUGACCUUGCUUGCAGACUUGACCUCUGGAUAUGACAAGGUAGCUUCAAUACAGAUCUACCAUUUAAUCCUGGAAACUAAAACAAACAAAAAAAAUCUCACAGCAAGAAAGAUGCAGAACAUUUCCUGAGAAGUCAGAAGACCCCAAUGCAUUCUGGUGCGCAAAGAAAACAGGGUGAAUGUCUACAGUUACUUGGGGGGGAGCAAGAAGCGCUAAUUCAGCAAACAGAGUGAAGAAACAAUCAAGAUGAGAUGGCUGCUGCUGAUGUGACUCUCUAGGUCUUUAUCUCUCUUCCUGCUGCUAACGCUGCAUGACACUAAGCUUACAGGAUCUAGAAGCAAACUGCAAAAUAAGAAGAAAUUUGCUCUGAAGACUAUGAAGAAACACUAGGCUGAUCUUACCAAUAUCUGAAAUACACUCUGUAAAUCCCCACUGAUACUAUGGAUCUCUUGCAGAACCAAACCAGGACAAAGUUCAACAGAUAACUGGUCAAAGUUUAAAAGUGUAUGUCCACCAAGAACAAGGAACCAUGAAUGGCACUAAUGCCAUGCCUCAGGUAAAUCUGUUAUAAAGUUUAGUCUUUGAUAGUCUCUGCAAAUGAUCUACCAUUUCUCUCCAUCAGUAAGCUGAAUGUUUUACUAACAAAUGCGAAAAUAAAACAUUUCGUGUUUUUACAGCUAACAACUUAGUAAUACCUACUCAGAGUACAUACUUCUUUAUGUACCCAUAUGAACAUACAAUGCUAUGGAAUGUAAAGAAGUAUGUAUUUUUGGUAGGCAAUAAACCGCCAAGAGGGAACUAGAAUGCAGCUAUGUGAAUGACCUUCAUAUGGUAAAUUAACCUAAUAUCAAAGAGAUGACCUUUGGCAAUACUAACACCAGAAAAAUGUACCUACUACUUACAGAUGGAAACUAAAUGUUGCUAAGAUUUAUAUUUUGUGAAGAAAAAAAGUUUUACUGAAGUGGAUUUAAAAUUAUCAUGAAAUUCCUUUUAAAUCUUUUAAGUUAAGCAUACUACAUUUUACAUUUUUUAAAUUAAGUAUUCACAUGAUUAAAGUUGAAUACAAAAGAGAAUAGAGUAUUACUAGUACAAAACAAUGAGGGAUACACAUGACCUAUUUUCUGUCUCCACAAUUUGACAUUAAUUUAAAUGUAUCAUAUUAGUAGUGUUGACUGAUUUAACAAAAGCCAACUUCAUUUGCCUUUCAACAGCUCUUCUUCAUAUUUUGAUAAAUUUAUAAUUUAAUAAUAUUAGAGGAAUUUCUGAAGCAAGUUUUGCUGUUUUAGGUUUUCUUUCUGAAAGCUAUAGACAUAGUUAUGAUUUUAAAAGGCUAUCUUUCAAGUAAAAUUCUGCUCUCAAAGAAAAAAAAUGGUCCUUGUCCUUCUCCCUAAUCCAGUCUCCACUUUCAAUGCUGUGUAAGUACUUAGAAUGAAUCAAGACAUAAGAUGUAUUCAUGAAAAAUGACAAAAUUCUGGGAAAUAGCUGUAAGUCAACAGGGCACAUUGGUCACAGACUGCCAAAUAUUUAAAAUAAAUUAAUUUAUUAUCUAUAUUAUCCUUGAAUUUGCUUUCUCCAAAGAGGGCACAUAAAAUGAAAACACUAUAGUCAAGAAACCAAUUUAUACAGAAAGAAUAACCAUCUUUUAUUAGUACUAUGCAAUUAUAAUUCAAUUUUUUAUAAAUAUGAUAGACCUACUAUUUAUAGUAUGUUAGAUAUAUUAAAAUACUUUUUUGUAUUUUAUAUAAAAUUUAUUUUGUACAAUAUAUAUUUAUAUACUAAUAAAUUAUAAAUGAUAUAGCUCUUAGCAACAAUUUAUUAGUACCUACUUUAAGCUACUAUAAUAGACUUUGAAAAAAGAAAUACUAAUAUUAAUAUUCAUAUAUUCUAAUCAUUUCUUACUAAAAGUUUUAUUUUGACUAGAGUAUUCAGACAUGUAUUACAUGUCUAAAUUUUUUGUGUCACAGUUGAAUAGAAAUGGCUAUAAGGUUAUCCAAUUUUCUGUUUAAUAAGACAACUAGAUAAUUGUCAAAAGAUGAUUUUCAUUUUAUCGGCAGAUUAUAAAGAAUGAGAGAAUGACUAAUAGAUAUGGUAGCAUAUAAAUUAUUGAGUAUUUAUUGGAAGUUACAAAAAGUUCAUAAUUUUAAAAUUCCACAUUUUCAAAGAAAAAAUCAGUUCAAAGCUUAACUCAUUCAAGAAUAGCCCUUCUUUCUGAUCAUCUACAAAGAGAAUGGCAAAGCUGCAUAUUCCAUUUGUUAAGUUUAACUGUACAUGCCCUAAAUACCAAAAACUGACAAUAUAUACCUCAAAAGUAGAGGUUCCUCUAUAAAACUACUCAAAGGGUAUUACUGCAUCCAUGUUUUAUAAUAAACAAUUAUAUUCAUCAUUCUAUAGGUAUAUAUGUUUUUAAUAAUUAUUUUAAAACAUCCCAGCAACUAAGAAUCUCGUUGCUACAAUAUUAAGAGUAUAUAAUCCCUAGAAAAUAAAAUGACAGCAUCUGUUAUUCAUUUGAAAAAGUAAAAUUACACACUGAUUCUAGUGCUUACAAGUUCAACUUAACAUAUCUAAGAGUAUUUUCAAUCACUCUAAAAUGUCACAUCUAUCACUUAGAUCAGCUGUUCAUUUUUAACUGAGUACAUAUUAAACUCUGGGCAUCUGCUGACACUGGCGUAACUCAAACAUUUCAACUGUCUCGCUGACAGGGAUAACAGAUGCUGACAUUAUCAAAUGCUGUACUAUUUUUUUUCCAUGGCCUCUCCUUGCCCCGAUAUGGCCAGUAUAUGAAACUGAACUGCCAUCCAAAAGCACACUUGAGCAACUGGAUCUGCUAAACGGCUCCCAUAUAACUAGUAAAAAUAGAAGCCAGUUUUAUUGCUAUCAUCAGCACUGAAGUCCACGCAAUUUAACACCUGUUUCAUUUCUAUUAGAAUGAUGGAAAUAAUUGUAGUCACAUUAAUUUCACCAGCAGCAUGACACUCAUCAACCAACAGAUGCAGAAUAUACUUAAUAUGAGAAUUGUUUGAAUAUUACCUGAAUUAGUGUUGGCCUCCCAGUUUGGUUCAAAACAGAUAACUAUUUCUUUAUAUUUCACUGACAGCACUUAUAGGCAAACUAUAACUGCUCAAACUUUUAUUUCAAGGCAAGUAUUUUCAGAAGACAUCCCUUCCCAAUACUGAAAUCCCCUUAUAACAAAAAUUUGUUCUACUGAGUUUUAAUAGUAGUUUUAAUACUCAAAUUCAUGAUUCUUACUAACCACAAGUUAAUGUAUUAUUAAGCUGAUAAUGAGAAGUAACUAGGCAAUCUGUACCCAAAAUGACAGAGAAUUCGGUCAAGGAACUAGACCUUUAAAAGGGUUAAAUUAUUAACCUAUGAUUAGUAACACUACAUAAGCAAAAAGAAAGAAAAAUAAGCUAUCAUGCAUGGCAGUUCCUUUCAACACAAGUCUAAGCAAUACACCGAAUACACGUGUCAUCUAUUUAUAAACCAAAGCCCAGAGGUACUUUCUUAAGGCUACUCAUUCCUCCACCCCGUCAGCAACUUGCUGUUAGUCCUUAAGUAUAAUACUAAAAAAAGCAGCGGCAGUAGAAAAGUAUGACUAGCAGUGCUCUUCCCUAACCUAUUUCACUUACUUAUUUGGUUUACUGCCCAAGGAUAAAUAGAUAACAUUACUCUGAUACACAUCAAGAUCUAUUUGCUCUUUUAAAUGGUGUGGGUUUUGAAACAGGUCACUGUCUGUAUUUAAGAAUUAAGCAAAAGUGUUAAAAAUAAAGGCGUACAUUGAUAACUCCUUAAUGCACUAACGACGUGUUAAAGGGUGAAGAUUUCUGCAUGAUUAGAGAAGGGAAUAGUAGGAAAAGUGCCUUCAAAACAUAAAGUUUUACAUUCAAUGGCUGAAAUACUGAUAUGAGAAUUGUGUAAGGACCAUAACCAUAAUUUUUCAAAUAAAAAACAUUUUAACUGUUCUGGGUCCCAAACUAGCGGCACUGCAAUGCUUUGCUAGAGCUGGUAAAAUGGAACCAAAUCGCCUCUUCAAUGGAUUUGGUCCCCUUCAACCAGCUGUAGCUAUGCAUUGAUUACUACAGGACAGCCAGCGUUUUCAUUUAUCAAUAUCAAUCACAUCAACUAAUUUCAACUUAUUUAAAUUACUCAGAUUGUGGUUUAAAUCAAAUAAUUUGUUACUGUUAAUUCUACUUGGAAGAGCCAUAAUGGUAAAUAAUGUUUAUAAACAGCUUUAUGAAAAAUGUGUGGAUGACAUAAGGCUUUCAAAUAAAAUUAUUUUAUUAAUUUA